rnacentral:rRNA from 1 species
AUUGAACGCUGGCGGCAUGCCUUACACAUGCAAGUCGAACGGCAGCAUGAUCUAGCUUGCUAGAUUGAUGGCGAGUGGCGAACGGGUGAGUAAUACAUCGGAACGUGUCCUGUAGUGGGGGAUAACUAGUCGAAAGAUUAGCUAAUACCGCAUACGACCUGAGGGUGAAAGUGGGGGACCGCAAGGCCUCAUGCUAUAGGAGCGGCCGAUGUCUGAUUAGCUAGUUGGUGAGGUAAAGGCUCACCAAGGCGACGAUCAGUAGCUGGUCUGAGAGGACGAUCAGCCACACUGGAACUGAGACACGGCCCAGACUCCUACGGGAGGCAGCAGUGGGGAAUUUUGGACAAUGGGCGAAAGCCUGAUCCAGCAAUGCCGCGUGUGUGAAGAAGGCCUUCGGGUUGUAAAGCACUUUUGUCCGGAAAGAAAUGGCUCUGGUUAAUACCUGGGGUCGAUGACGGUACCGGAAGAAUAAGGACCGGCUAACUACGUG